GUACUGUCGAAGAGUCCCGCAAUAGGACGAAACGGCCGUCCAGUGC
rfam:Schistosoma haematobium scaffold1585_29, whole genome shotgun sequence.